UUUGUAUUACAUGCGGAAAUUGUUACCAUUUUUGAGGUAACAUUUUUGAGCCGAAAAUGGUAACAAUUUCCGCACGUAAUACAAA